rnacentral:rRNA from 1 species
UUGGGAUCUUGGACAUGGGGGAAACCCUGAUCCAGCCAUGCCGCGUGAGUGAUGAAGGCCUUCGGGUUGUAAAACUCUUUCGGCGGGGACGAUGAUGACGGUACCCGCAGAAGAAGCCCCGGCUAACUUCGUGCCAGCAGCCGCGGUAAUACGAAGGGGGCUAGCGUUGCUCGGAAUGACUGGGCGUAAAGGGCGCGUAGGCGGAUGGCACAGUCAGAUGUGAAAUUCCCGGGCUUAACCUGGGGGCUGCAUUUGAUACGUGUUGUCUGGAGUGAGGAAGAGGGUCGUGGAAUUCCCAGUGUAGAGGUGAAAUUCGUAGAUAUUGGGAAGAACACCGGUGGCGAAGGCGGCGACCUGGUCCUUGACUGACGCUGAGGCGCGAAAGCGUGGGGAGCAAACAGGAUUAGAUACCCUGGUAGUCCACGCUGUAAACGAUGUGUGCUGGAUGUUGGGCGACCUAGUCGCUCAGUGUCGUAGCUAACGCGAUAAGCACACCGCCUGGGGAGUACGGCCGCAAGGUUG